GGGGAAUUGGUGUAGUUGGUCAUCACGCGUCGUUAGCAACGACGAGGUCGGGGUUUCGACUACCCCAUUCUCCA
rfam:Beta vulgaris subsp. vulgaris contig108994.1, whole genome shotgun sequence.